GUAGUCUCGCACAGAUGCAUAUCAAUAAGCGGAGGAAAAGAAACUAACAAGGAUUCCCCUAGUAACAGCGAGUGAAGCGGGAAGAGCUCAAAUUUGAAAUCUUAAAGGGUUUCCCUUUACGAAUUGUAGUUUAAAGAAGUGUUUUCUGUUGAGGUUUUGGUAAAAGUUCUUUGGAAUAGGACAUCAUAGAGGGUGAGAAUCCCGUAUUUGACCUUUACUUUCAACUUUGUGAUACACUUUCAAAGAGUCGGAUUGUUUGGGAAUGCAGUCCAAAAUGGGUGGUAAAUUUCAUCUAAAGCUAAAUAUUGGCGAGAGACCGAUAGCGAACAAGUACCGUGAGGGAAAGAUGAAAAGAACUUUGAAAAGAGAGUUAAACAGUACGUGAAAUUGUCAAAAGGGAAGCGUUUGACACCAGUGUUGUUUUUCUGAAAAUCAAUUAAAGAACUGUUUAUGCUAAGCUGUUUAGACUUUAUCAGCUAUCUGUUUAGUUUUGAGCUUUUCUUUAAUGCACUUUUCAGUUAACAAGUCAACAUCAAUUUCUUUUGCUGUAAAAAAGCUUGAGGAAGGUGGCUUGAGAUUCGUCUUAAGUGUUUAUAGCCUCUUGCCUAUGCAGUCGGAGAGAUUGAGGUCUGCAGCGUAGAUCCUUCGGGGCUAAAUGCAUUUGUGCUAAGUUAUAGCAUUUUAUAGACAACUUGUUGACUAUGAUUUGUCUUGUAGCUUACUCGCUUAUGUUAUUUUACCUACGCUUAGGAUGUUGACAGCAGUAUAGACUGU
rnacentral:rRNA from 1 species